AUUUCUUGGGACGCUCGCACGGCAUAUGGAGGUUCCCAGGCUAGGGGUCUAAUCGGAGCUGUAGCCACCCGCCUAUGCCAGAGCCACAGCAACUCGGGAUCCGAACCUCGUCUGCAACCUACACCACAGCUCACGGCAACACCGGAUCAUUAACCCACUGAGCAAGGGCAGGGACCAAACCCGCAACCUCAUGGUUCCUAGUCGGAUUCGUUAACCACUGCGCCACGACGGGAACUCCAGAAAAGUUUCAUUUCUAUAGACAAGAAAGUCACAGACGUGGAGAACAGACUUGUGGUUGCCGAGGGGUGGGGGAGGGAGUGGGGUGGCUCGGAGCUUGGGGUUCAUCGAUGCAGACGCCUGCCUUUGGAAUGGGUGGGCACUGAGAUGCUGCUGUGUCGCACUGAGAAGGAUGUCUGGUCCCUGAUGAGGGAGCAUGAUCACGGGAGAAAAUAGAAUGUGUACAUGUAUGUGUAACUGGGUCACCAUGCUGCACAGGAGAAGAAGAAAAAAUUGUAUUGGGGAAAUCACUAUUAAAAAAAUAAUAAUAAUUUAAAAGAAGAAUUAAAAAAAGUAGCGGGGCGGGGGGAAAUAGUUCUUUUGUUCUUUGGAAGCAGCGUGUCUUAGAAGGAACCUCGAGACACUUCUGCAGAACGUACUGUGCUGAGAGCAUCAGUGAAGGGGUUCGGCUCUCUCCGAGCAGGAAGAGGAACCAUUUCCCAUUUCCAGCCUGGGACCACGGAGCUGGAAGGACCAGAGUCGCCGGGGGCCUUGCGAGAUCAGCCACUGAGGCCCACACGCGUGCCCCAGGGAUGUUCUACCCUGGGAGCCUUGAUGUCCCCGUGAAACACAUCCAGUCUUAGGAAGGACCUCAUCCGAAAAGACGUGUCUGCUCCCCACGCUGCACGAUCCGGUCAGGUGGCACAGCUAUCCUAGAAAGUGACCUCUGAAGGACAAGACCCUGCAAACGUGGCCAGCGCAUCUCAGGAGACGGCGCUGAGCCAUCCCACACGGCGCAUCGGAUAUCAGGGGCUGCCUCGGGCUCUACCUUGAUGUCCCACAGCAGCCACACUGGCUUAACGAUUUCUAGAACCCUAACGGCAGGAGUCUGUGCGAGGUCACUGAGGCCACCUGCUGUGAACCACUGCUGUCCCUGCUCCUGGCUCCCAGCACCAAGCCAGGAUCCUAUCGGUUCUCUGGCUCAGAGUCGCUUCUGGCACUUUGCUGUCGCCUCGGUCUGAGGGGCCACAGGGACGGGCAGGACCACAGGGGAGGCCAGGGCAAGAGCAGACAGACAGUUUCGGAGCAGGCGGGCAGGGGCGGCCGGAGGCACGAGGCCUGCCUCAUGGAAGGCGCUCCCAGGUGCACAGGGAAGUGACAAGGGCCCCACAGGUGAGGACCAGCAGAGGCUGCUCACCCCUGGCUCUCCAUCUGGGCCUCGGCUCGUGCUGGGCAGCGGCUGAAGGGCAGGCCGGGGACGGAGAGGGAGAGCCCUGCAGGGGAAAGUGGCCAUUGCAGCGACACUGGCUGGAGGCAGCCACUAGGAGCCAGGCAACUGCCCAACUGGUCUGGGACACAUCUGGCUCUCCCGGGCUGGGCCGCACUGGAAGCUGCAGCGGGGAUGGGUGCUGCGGCUGCAGGGCUGUGGUCUGGCUUUCGGUUGGGAUGCUGGGGAGGCUGUGGGUCAGGGCCAUGCUCGUCCUGGGCACUGUCACACAUCCUGCCUGGCACCUGGAAGGCGUCUGCCCCUGGCUGGCGCUCUCACCUGUGCUGAGAUCCAAGGCCCCUGUCCUCCGAGUGGAGACAGUCGCCCUGCAGGCUGUGUCAGCGUGGGAAGGACACGUGCAGCUACGUGGAAAGCCACAAAGUGAGCAGAGCGGCUGUGAGGACUGCUGGCGGGCCUCAGACAUUUGUGUCCCAGGGAAGAAACGGGUCACUGAGCUGGGACCCACUGGGCCCCAGCCUGGCCCAGUCUCCUCCCGGACACCUGACCCUGCCCAGGCCCACACGAGCAGGUUCCCAGCCAGGCAGGUUCCCAGCCAGGCCCCACUCCCUACCUAGCUCCCUACACCUCUCCUGUGGGAAGCACACCUCUUCCCACAGGGGCACGGGCACCGACCAUGUGAUGGGCACUGGGAAACAUGCAGGAAGUGAGACAGAAACGUCCUGGCGACGUGGCGCACAUACAUCAGCGACUGGGAUGGAGAAGCUCAUUCACGUUGUCAGGAGGUAACUCAAGAGCGUUUUUCUCAGUGAAAGACCUACUGAGAUGUGGCACUCUGCUCACCCCAGGACCUGGAGCCCAGGAGCGUCCUCUCAGACCUAAGAAGGGAGGCCAGGGAGAGUGCGUGUGGGACACUGAGCACUCAGCGUCCUGGCAUUCUGGGGAGGAGCACGGAAGGGGACCAAAACAAACACGCUGCCUCCAGCAAACCUUGCUGUGUCCAGGUGCUGAGGGCACUCGGGGGCUUUCUCCUGCAGCCACGAUGUGCUUUUUUUUUUGUAGGGUUGCACCUGCAGCAGAUGGAAGUUCCCAGGCUAGGGGCUGAAUCAGAGCUGCAGCAGCCGCAGCAACACCAGACAGACGCAAGCCACAUCUGCGACCUACACCAUAGCUCACGGCAACACAGAUUCUUAACCCACAGAGCGAGGCCAGGGAUGGAACACACACCCUCGUGGGUUUGCUCCUGCUGAGCCACAACAGGAACUCUUUAACCUUUACAAGUGAGCCUCCGUGUAAGAGGGAGCACUUCCUUGUGUUUAGGAAUGUAAAAGAUUGCAAUGAAUAAUUAACAAGCACGAAAUUAGGAGCCCGGUACCACGUGCUUCAGAUUCGCAGCCUGCUCGCUCUAGCAGGCCGAGAGAAAAGUAUUUAAGGGUUUGACGUAUUGUUUUCCACGGCUGUAAGCUAUGAACUGUGAAAAAGCAAUGAUCAACGUCACUCCUUAAAAUGAUCUAUAGUCAUGAUUUAACUGAGGGGUCUUUGUAAAGGAAAAUUUUUGAUUAGCAUUUUGCAUGAUUCACUGGCAUUAUUAAUUACUCCCUUUAAUAGGUAUGGGUAUUAGUCAAGGAUUUUUAUUCUAGUAAUCCAUCAUAAAGUUUUUAAAAAAUCAUUUUCAAAAAUGAACUGGUUCAUGGAGUUCCCUUGUGGCUCAGCAGUUUAAGGAUUCAGCGUUGUCGCUGCUGUGGUUCGGGUUCGAUCCCUGGCCUGGGAAUGCCACAGGCUGUGGGUAUGGCAAAAAAAGAAUGAACUGGUUCAAAAAUUGUUGGAGUUCCCGUCGUGGCUCAGUGGUUAACGAACCCAACCAGUAUCUGUGAGGAUGCAGGGUCAAUCCCUGGCCUCGCUCAGUGGGUUAAGGAUCCAGCAUUGCCUUGGGCUGUGGUGUAGGUCACAGAUGCAACUCAGAUCUGGUGUUGCUGUGGCAUCAGCCGACAAUGCUUGUGUCCUCAUCUCCAGAACCUCUGAAUAUGGUACCUGGCACAAUGGGCCUUGCAGGUGAGAUUAAGGAAGACCCCUAAGAUGCAGAGAUGGCCCUGGGAGGGGGGGGGUCCAGAUGGGCCCCCAUCAUCACAGGUCCUUCUAAGAAGGAAGCAGGAGAGCAGAGGCCAGACUCUCCCCAGGGAAUGGGGCCGACCUCUAGGAGCCGGAAAGGUAAGAACAUGCCCCUCACAAGCCUCCAGAAGAAACGCAGCCUGAUCAACCCCGAGAUUUCAGACUGGUGUGGACUUCUGGCUUCCAGAAAGGAAAGAUCAUCAAUCUGAGUUGUUUGAAGCCACGGGACUUGGGAUAAUAUGGUACAGCAGCAAUAAGCCUAGUACUCAAUGCAACAUAAAAACCGCUUUGGAAAUCAGUACGGCAGUUUCUUUAAAAAAGUAGGCACUAUAAUGGAAAAAGUAAAAAUCUUCACCAAAACUAAGUAAGUUUUCUACAAAGAAAAAGUAUGCACGUACCACACAACCACUAACAAUAAAAGCCACUAACAAUCACGUGAAUGAGUUUUAAAAACAUUAUGCAUCUGUAAACCAACUAUAAAGGAAAUAGUAAAAAUCAUUAAAAAAAUUUAAAAAUUAAAAAAAUUUUUAAAAAUAAAAUAAAAACAUUGUGCUUAAUGAAAGAAGGCAGAUACAGACGGCUGCACCUGGGAGGAUUCCAUAUUCGAAACCCCAGGAAGCACAGGCUCCUCUGCAGUUUCAGGUGCAGACUGCGUGACCUUGACGCCGGGCUGGACAGAGAGGAGAUGGGCAGGGAAACUCCUCCGGUGGGGGCUGCGAAGAACCCCUCCCCAGGCAGGUGGACGCACGGUCCCGGGAAACUACACACUAAAACCGUCCCAGCUGGGCCCGGGACACUCCCUGCGAAAUCCAGCGUGAUGGAGGUCGGCAGGACCUCUCAGGGUCUGCUCAGAACAGACACUGGCAAGCAGGGUUGGGAACCCAAGAAGCUAAGGUCAGAUGUGGCAGUCACGGCGGUUGGGCUGUUCCAGAACAGAGACGCCCCCGGGGUUCCGGGUCAGCCGGGGGCGAUCAGUGGCAGGAGGUGGGGGGUGGGGAACUGGGCGGGAGAGGGGUUCCCUGUCAACCGCAAGGAAAGCUGUCUCUUAGAAAGCACGGCACCCGCGCCCAAGGAGAGAGAAACGACGCAGCAGUGUUGUCCCCUGUCUUUGGCCUAAGAAGAGGCAGUCUCUGGGUUUAAGGGAUUAAAGGAGCCUUCCCCUCGGGAGACACCUGCGUGGCGUAUUCCGGAUUUCAACUGGAAGGAUCCCGACCGUGAGGACAACUGGUCGACCCACGCAGACCGCAUCUGGGAGACCACGUCUGCCCAGACGGUGGUGGAGCGGCAGGUCCAUGAGAGCAACUGGUCAACCUGCACCGACCAGGUCCUUGAGAAAAAGUCCAUGUGGACAACUGGUCGACCCACGCAGACCGGGUCCAAGAGACCAGUUCUGGACGCUGUAGGACACCUGUAUUCUGGUGGCACAGGGUGGGGAGGUCAUCCUAAAAGGCCCGACAAGACGUUCAUCGGGCCCCCUGCUGAGGGGCACCCGUGGGCGAGCGAGCGAGGUGGGUGCUGUAGACACCGUGUGUGUCCUCGGCCCCUCCGUUCAUUUGUUAAGUGCUGACUCCCCGGGUGACGGUAGGAGGGGUGGGGGGGCCUUGGGAGGUGAUCAGAUCAUGAGCGUGGACCUCGGGAAUUGGAUCAGGGCCUCAUGAAAGAGACCCCAGGGCGCCCCUCACGCCUUCUGUGACGUGAGGACAGAGAAGACACAGGGAAACAAGAGGCAGCCUCUCAGCAGACCCUGAAUCUGCAGGCACCCUGACGACGGACGUGCCAGGCUGUGGAUCCGGGAGAGAAAAACACCGGGGGGUGCAGGCCACCCAGGCAGUGUGCCUGUGCCCUGGCUGGGGCACAGAAGUUGAGCCUCCAGGACGGGCUCACCCUCCGGAGGACUGCCCAGGGCAGCCGGGCACCGCUCCUCCUGGUUGGGGAGCAGCAAGGAAGAUAGGAUCUCGGCGGCCACUCACGGUUCCAGGGCCUGGAUGCAAGUCCGU
ensembl:lncRNA